rnacentral:rRNA from 1 species
GACGAACGCUGGCGGCGUGCUUAACACAUGCAAGUCGAACGGAAAGGCCCUGCUUUUGUGGGGUGCUCGAGUGGCGAACGGGUGAGUAACACGUGAGUAACCUGCUCUUGACUUUGGGAUAACUUCAGGAAACUGGGGCUAAUACCGGUUAGGAGCUCCUGCUGCAUGGUGGGGGUUGGAAAGUUUCGGCGGUUGGGGAUGGACUCGCGGCUUAUCAGCUUGUUGGUGGGGUAGUGGCUUACCAAGGCUUUGACGGGUAGCCGGCCUGAGAGGGUGACCGGCCACAUUGGGACUGAGAUACGGCCCAGACUCCAACGGGAGGCAGCAGUGGGGAAUAGUGCACAAUGGGCGGAAGCCUGAUGCAGCAACGCCGCGUGCGGGAUGACGGCCUUCGGGUUAUAAACCGCUUUCGCCUGUGACGAAGCGUGAGUGACGGUAAUGUGUAAAGAAGCACCGGCUAACUACGUG